ACCUAGGUGGCCUAGUGGUUAGAGCGUCCGCCUCUGAUGCAGAAGGUCAAGGGUUCGAGCCACAGCCUAGCUA